AGCUACCUUGCCUUCCUGAUGUACUCUGCCCCCUGCAGCUGUAAGCCGAGACACGCCCUUCCAUCCUAAACUUGCCUUUGUCAGGAAGAAGAAGAAAAGACUAUCAUGGUGAUGUGGACUGAGACUUCAGACACUAUAGACCGUGUGAAAUCCAGGCUGUGAAAGUGGCUCAAGUGGGUGAAGCACUUGCCUUAUGUGUGUGAGGACCUGCAUUUGAGUCUCCAGCACUCCUCCUGGGAUGUGGGAAGUGGAGAAUCAAUCCCCUGGAGCAGGCAGGAAUAUACCAGAUGGCUCUGUGGAGCCCAGCUGUCACCCAGGCCACCAUGUGUAUGAAGUGACCACUAAGCAGCUCUGGACAGAGUAUUGGAAGAUUGGGUGUUUUUGUGGGCUGAGAAGAAACUUGAGGGAAACCUGGAAUCUCUUACCAAUCAUUGAUCACCCGCCUACGAGUUGAGUACCAGAAUGGGUAUGUGGCGAUCAAGAGAUAACCUGGAGCGUUCACUCACUCCUUCAAUGUGGGACCCAGGGAUCAAACUCACGUCCUCAGCACUUGACAGCAAGUGCCUUUAUUUUGCCCCUGAGCCAUCUCACUGACUCUGGCACGCCAUAUAUUUAAUCAGUAACUUUUUUUUUCUUGUUAGUAAUAAAUAAUGAAUAAAUAAAUAAAUAAUGAUGCUUCUUUGU
rnacentral:lncRNA from 1 species